UCGUGUCGCGGAGCGCGGGGUAGAGGCGCGGGAGGAGGGCUCUGCGCGAGCGCGUCAGCUGUUCUUCUCAAAUGCGGAAAAGGAUUCAGCAGCUCCGAGGAAGGGAACUCAGCCUAUCACACCGGAACCAAAAACUAAAUACCUGUGGAGUUUGGUUUUUGAACCCGUUGUCAUUUGGAUCACCAAGCGGCAAGAAGUAGAGGACCAUAGUGCUCUUGUUUGGAUGAAAUAAAUAAUCAGGAAUUCUGAUGAACCAUCUACAUGCGCAACUGAACAUGGAGUGUCCAGCCAAACCAAGUCCAGCCCAAUCAAGCCCCAACUCGGCUGCAAGCCUGUCCUGUCACAACCCCCACCCCCAAGCAGAGCGAGACAUGGAGGAGUUCACCUGUCAUGCUUGCACUUGAAAUGGAUAAAGAAAGAAAUUGUGUGAGCAGGGAGGAUAAUUGACAAUGCAACGAUUGUCCUUUUGUGGAUUUGAUUUUAACUU